AAUCAUAAAAAAUUUACUGCAAAGAUAUAUUAUUAUAUUAUUUUAUAUACCUUUUGCAUAAUGGUUUAAUUAUUUACUUGAAAAUUUACCUACCCGAAAUUAGAAGAUCUAACUUUCUCUUUUUUAGAGAACUAAUGUUUCAAAAUUAGAAAUAGUUUAAGUUAGGGAUGAAAGGUCUAGCAAUUCUAUAGAUAUCUGGAAUAAUUUUAAAUGUAUUAAGUACAAAAUAAAUUUGAAUAAAAAAAUGUUAAGGUUUUUUUAAUUAGAAUAAAGGAAUUAGGUAUGAAUUAACCUCCAAUACAUAAUAUAAAUAUAAUAAAUUUCUAUUUUAUCUACUAUAAUUAUAUAAUUUAAUUACUUAUAAGUUAAUUAUGUUAAAAUUAGUAUUAUUUAUAUGUUUAAUUAAGGAACUCGGCAAAUUACUCAUCUGUUUAUC
rnacentral:rRNA from 1 species